rnacentral:rRNA from 1 species
GUCUACGGCCAUACCACCCUGAACGCGCCCGAUCUCGUCUGAUCUCGGAAGCUAAGCAGGGUCGGGCCUGGUUAGUACUUGGAUGGGAGAAACCCCAUCUCUACUAAAAAUACAAAAUUAGCCAGACGUGGUGG